UACGUAGGGUGCAAGCGUUGUCCGGAAUUAUUGGGCGUAAAGGGCUCGUAGGCGGUCCAUCGCGUCGGGAGUGAAAAUCCAGGGCUUAACUCUGGACUGGCUUCCGAUACGGGCAGACUAGAGGUAUGCAGGGGAGAACGGAAUUCCUGGUGUAGCGGUGAAAUGCGUAGAUAUCUGGAGGAACACCGGUGGCGAAGGCGGCAUCCUGGACCGGCAUUGACGCUGAGGAGCGAAAGCCAGGGGAGCAAACGGG
rnacentral:rRNA from 1 species